GGCGACGGCCGAGAGAGCAUGACCACCACCAUCUUGGCCAACUGCUCUUUCCCUACAGGGAAACAGUGGAAAGGACAAAGACUCAACCGCUUCUUUUUCUGUUGACAUCUGGGAAAAUCAUUUACUUCUGUAUUACUGUAAUUAGAAUCAUCUUAAUCAUCUUCUAAAAUUAUGCAUUAUACGGAUAUUAUGGCACAUAAAGGAUAGCAAGGUAGACACUUCUCAGCUAAAGAAGAUUUUAUUCAAGGGAUAUAUGGUUUUUUUAUCCUGAAGCACUUGACGCUUACAAAAAAGUCAGACACCCACCCCAUCAGUGGAAACUGAUUAAUCAUCUUCACAUAUCAGAUUGUUUACUGGUAAAGCUGAACUGUCUUUGGAGUUUUUAUUCACAUCAGUGUCUCCAGAAGCUCUUCAGCCUGCUCAUGUGGCUGGGACUGCAUGUCUCCCUGGCCUCUGAAUGCGUCACUGUAGCCUUGACUACAAGGGAGCCAUUGAUUUGAAACACAAAGCAGACCCAGGACCAAGCCUGAAAAACAGACACCCUGCACCUGACUCAAAUCUCUCCUGGACCUGGGCAAAUGCUUUAGGCUAUGCUAAACUCAAUCUGACAAGUCCCUCAUAGUGAAUAAUUCCAUGAGUUUUAGAAUAAGGUUUUUUUUUUAAAAAAAAAAAAAAGGUAUCAACUUGUAAAAACCUACAAUGAUGUCAGCAUACACAUAUUCUUUUUGUUGGGUAACCCAGCAGCAGAUUAGAGGAUAUUUAACUAAGCUUCAAAACUCCUUGGCAUCUCAAUAACCUUUUGAACCAAGAUUAUUCUAACUGUAAAAAAAUACAGUCCAAGCUGAUUUUCUACCAUCGGUAGCUAAGAAAAAUAUUUGAAUAUGUGCUGAUGUAAUUAAAUAGUGAAAAAAUUAUAUGGCAAAGACAGAAAAUUAGAAAACAAGCAUGAUUUUCCACCACCUUUUUCAUUUUUUUAAAGUUGGUUUUGCACUGGAUUUUUUCAUACUUAUGAAUUUCUAGGAUUUAAAAUUGAAAGCAUUUGUAUCAUCUUUUAUCAGCAAUAAAUAGUAAUAAUCUUCCAAAAAUACUAUAAUCCCCAAAAUAAUUUCUGAUGUGUACAGCUAUACUAAGAUUAUGUUGAUAUCUGAUCAAUGUUAAAUUCUUCAUCCAGUUGUCAAGAAUCAAUACCCAGAACUUGAGCAUGAUAGUCUCAUAAGGCUAUUUUAUAUGGCAGAAAGCGAAGAAGAACUAAAAAGCCUCUUGAUGAAAGUG